rnacentral:lncRNA from 1 species
CGAGCCAAAGAUGCUAAGUAUGUUUUGUGAUAUUUAAUUCGUUUCAUAUCUUGGUCCAUGUCAUAUCCUCCAUCUUGAUACUCCUCUGAUCCAUACCCUGCAUGAAAUAUAUAUACAUAUACAUAUGAUUAUGUAUACCUAAUAAGUAUAGCUGCCUGAAAAAUUAAUAUAAUCUAUGAUUAAUUAGGAAAUUAAUAUUUACCAUUUUCAGUCACAUAUAUAGGUAUGUUAUUGUAUCUCUUCUUAACAUAAUCAACAAGCUCUUCCAUGCCUGGCGGAAAAACAUACAGUCCAGGUAUUCC